rnacentral:lncRNA from 1 species
CUUCGUCACACUACUUUCAUUUUAGUAAAAAACAGAGACUCAAAUCCAUCAAAACACCGGCCAAUGUCAUAUCCUGUAUGGAAAAUGAGGAACAUGAAAUCUGUUCUUAAAACCACCAAUUCAGGAUUAUGUUCAUUACUACAUGGCCUCCUAAGUUUACUGACAAACCUAAUAUUAUAUGUCUAACUAGGUCUGCCAUAGAGAUGGCUAAGAAUUUUAUUUAUUUUUUUAAAUAACUCAAAAUUAAAACAAGAUCAAAAGUUACUUAGAUUCAUCCUGUCCAUUCUUUUCCAUCAAUUCAGUGGACUCACUUGAUUUCCAUGUUGGAUUUCCAUCUCUUCCUUGUGCAUUUUAGUUAUUUUUUUGAGUAUGCGAAAUAUUAACCAUUUAUGAAAACAUUCUUUAUAACAACGUAUACACACACAUUCACUUUUGACCAUAAAAAAUAUUGUAAGGAGGCCGGAUGCAGGGGUUCACGCCUGUAAUCCUAACACUUUGGCAGGCUGAGAUGGAUGGAUCACGAGGUAAGGAGUUCGAGACCAGCCUGACCAACAUAGUGAAAUCCCAUCUCUACUAAAAUAAAUAAAUAAAAACAAAAUUAGCUGUGUCUGGCAGUGUGUGCCUGUAAUCCCAGCUACUCAGGAGGCUGAGGCAGGAGAAUCACUAGGUCUGCCAUAGAGAUGGCUAAGAAUUUUAUUUAUUUUUUUAAAUAACUCAAAAUUAAAACAAGAUCAAAAGUUACUUAGAUUCAUCCUGUCCAUUCUUUUCCAUCAAUUCAGUGGACUCACUUGAUUUCCAUGUUGGAUUUCCAUCUCUUCCUUGUGCAUUUUAGUUAUUUUUUUGAGUAUGCGAAAUAUUAACCAUUUAUGAAAACAUUCUUUAUAACAACGUAUACACACACAUUCACUUUUGACCAUAAAAAAUAUUGUAAGGAGGCCGGAUGCAGGGGUUCACGCCUGUAAUCCUAACACUUUGGCAGGCUGAGAUGGAUGGAUCACGAGGUAAGGAGUUCGAGACCAGCCUGACCAACAUAGUGAAAUCCCAUCUCUACUAAAAUAAAUAAAUAAAAACAAAAUUAGCUGUGUCUGGCAGUGUGUGCCUGUAAUCCCAGCUACUCAGGAGGCUGAGGCAGGAGAAUCGUGUGAACCUGGGGGGCAGAGGUUUCAGUAAGCUGACAUUGUGCCAUUGCACUCCAGCCAGGACAACAGUGCAAGACCCUGCCUCAAAAAAAAAAAAAAAUAUAUAUAUAUAUAUAGUAAG